UGGGGGAUAUUGCACAAUGGGCGAAAGCCUGAUGCAGCAACGCCGCGUGAGGGAAGACGGUCUUCGGAUUGUAAACCUUUAGCUUUGGGGAAGAAACAAAUGACGGUACCCAAAGGGGCAGCCACGGCUAACUACGUGCCAGCAGCCGCGGUAAUACGUAGGUGGCAAGCGUUGUCCGGAAUUACUGGGUGUAAAGGGUGCGUAGGCGGGUAUCCAAGUCAAAUGUGAAAUCUAUGGGCUCAACCCAUAGACUGCGUUUGAAACUGGGUAUCUUGAGUGAAGUAGAGGCAGGCGGAAUUCCGAGUGUAGCGGUGAAAUGCGUAGAUAGUCGGAGGAACACCAGUGGCGAAGGCGGCCUGCUGGGCUUUUACUGACGCUGAUGCACGAAAGCAUGGGGAGCAAACA
rnacentral:rRNA from 1 species